rnacentral:sRNA from 2 species
GAGUGGAGGAGACGGCUAUGGUAUAUCCACCCAUAUGUUUCUUUCUAUUUUUUUUUCUCCUCUAGCGGACGAAGCUCCGAGCGAGUUGCCAGCAGUCCCAGUGUUGUUCCCUUUUCUUGAUUUAGCGUGAUUGGCGGGGGCUGCCUCAGCAACCACGGAGGAGAUUCCCUGUCCCUACUAAUGGCUCAAGAACCAUCCGGUUCCCGAGUCCUCACCGAAAAUAUCGAUAGAUCAAACUACUACAUAUGUACUUGGAAAAAGUAACAUUAACAAUAGAAGAUAAAAAAACGAGAAUAGAAAACCCUUGAACCAAGACUACAGCUUCUGCGCCGUCCAACUCACACCCGCUGCCUCCAACGCAUCCUCCCCAUCAACAAGUACACACCAGCCCUCGCUCCCAUUACUCCCUGCUUCCUCCCCCGCAACCGCCGCCCUGAAGUUCUCCCGCGCGUACUCCAGCACUUCGUCGUCAAAGGUGCCCGGCUGCAGCCACACGGCGGGGACAUCCACGGCCUUGGCCUCCUUAAGGACCGCAAGCGUCACUUUAGGCGGGGUGACGAUGGAGAGAGAUGUCUGGGUAGGUGCCGGGAGGGCGGAGGGGGAUGGCAGAGUGCUAUAUGUCUUCGAAGGCAGGGCGAUUUCGGAGGCCCGUGGGUUCAAAGGGGUAACGGGGAGAGAGUGCUGGUGGUACCAGGCGAGGACUAUUUUACGGUUGGUUUGAGUGUCAGCAGCAGUCAGGAUUGUUGGCGAUUUUUAUUUUGCUUUUCUUGCGGAUUCGCUAUUUCAACUGACUCUUGUAGCCAAACUUGCUGGGAUCGGUGCUGGCGCCGGCUACGGCGAACCGUGGGGAGGAGAAGAAGUGUUUGGCAGCGGCCUCCAUAUCUUGAUUAAUCCUUAAAUGGCGUGUAUUAACCUAUUGCCAGCUGGAGACAUGGAAGGUAGACAGUGCUUAAACCUAACUUUCUAGUCUUUGGUGGAGAUGCCUCGGAGGUUAGAAGCUCCACCACACCAAUAAUUUGUUAACUUAGCAGUUGGUUUUGAAACGCAGAUUACCACGAUAAUAUAUAUUAUUAGCAGUG